rnacentral:rRNA from 1 species
CCUGCCAGUAGUCAUAUGCUUGUCUCAAAGAUUAAGCCAUGCAUGUCUAAGUACAAACGAAAAUAAAGUGAAACCGCGAAUGGCUCAUUAAAUCAGUUACGAUCUAUUAGAAAUAGACUAUCUUACAUGGAUAACUGUGGUAAUUCUAGAGCUAAUACAUGCACUAAACGGGUGACUCGAAAGGGAAACUCGGCAUAUAUUAGACCAAGACCAAUGGGGCUUCGGCUCCUUUGUAUGGUGACUCUGAAUAUACUAGCUGAUCGCAUGGCCUCGAGCCAGCGACGUAACUUUCGAGUGUCUGCCUUAUCAACUGUCGAUGGUAGGUUAAAUGCCUACCAUGGUUGUGACGGGUAACGGGGAAUCAGGGUUCGAUUCCGGAGAGGGAGCUUGAGAAAUGGCUACCACAUCCAAGGAUGGCAGCAGGCGCGCAAAUUACCCAAUCUCGAAACGAGGAGGUAGUGACAAUAGGUAACAAUGCUGGGCUGCUUUCAAUGCAGCACGGCAAUUGGAAUGAGAGUGCGACACAGAAAGGCAGUGUGAAAUUAACAUUGUUUAAACCCACAUUCGAGGAGCCAUUGGAGGGCAAGUCUGGUGCCAGCAGCCGCGGUAAUUCCAGCUCCAAUAGCGUAUAUUAAAGUUGUUGCAGUUAAAAAGCUCGUAGUCUGAUGGAUUGGCCAAGGUAUUUUGAGUCUUUUGCUUAACUAGAGGUUUUCAAUCUUUAGUCUAGCUAAAAGAUUUCAAGCGCCUUUACCGAAUUAGUACUUCUGUAUUGGUUUUUUAAUCAAAUCCGACACAGAUUGUUUACUUUGAGAAAAAUAGCGUGUUCAAAGCAGGCGUUGAUUCACACUUCUUUCAUUUGUAAAGAAAUGCCUUAUAUUGUGCUCUAGUUUGGGUUGUAACAAAUCAAGACUAAAGCAUGACUUGAAUACAUUAGCAUGGGAUAAUAAAAUAGGACAUUGGUUCUGUGUUUCGACUCCGAUUUCAGAUUUUCCUAUUUACUUAGGAUUUAUCUGGUUCGAGGACCGAUGUAAUGGUCAACAGGGACUGUUGGGGACAUUCAUACUCCAUGGCUAGAGGUGAAAUUCUUGGAUUCAUGGAAGAUGAACUAGUGCGAAAGCAUUUGUCAAAGAUGUUUUCAUUGAUCAAGAACGAAAGUUAGGGGAGCAAAGACGAUCAGAUACCGUCGUAGUC